UUUCUAUCUGUUUUCUACUUUUUUAUUAUAUUUUAUUGUUCUUCUCUGUGUUUUUUUUUCCCAUUCAUAAAUGGCCUGCGUUCGAUUUCUAUCUGCUCUCUACUUCUAUUUCGGGCAGUCAAAAGAGAGAGAUUCCUGAUGUUGUGAUUGAAUUUUAAGUAAACAAACAGUAAAAUUUUAUUGUAAAUUAUUAGGAAUGAUUUAUAUUUAUGUUUGCUUCUUUAUCAUUUGUAGUUCCAUGGGUGGAUUCCAUCUAUAUCGUUCCGAGCUUGAUGCAAUGGAGGCUAAGCUUGCUUCAUGGUCGUUUGCUUUUGUUUUUGAAACUUUUUCAAAUGUAUCGCAGUGUCAGCUAUCACUCUUGAAACUUAUAUACAGAAAGGCAUAUAGUUUUAAAGAGACACAUUUUACAAGGAAAGCCUCCAGAUGUUUCAAAAUGGCGGGUAAGCCUCACUUUGUUGUCAUCUUCAAACUUGGUUUUUUUUGGAUUGCUGGUUUCUCUACAUCAAUCUUACUUUCUUGAUUGUAAAUGUAACGUGGAAUUAAAUUCAUCUGCAGAUAGGACAACGAGCAGCGUAAUGCAGAGCUGAUUAUCAAGUCAAAGAAAAAUGCAGAUUUAGUAAUCAGGUCUAUCAAUUUCUAGAAUUGAUGUGAUGAAUUAAUGGAGAAAGAGAAAUGAGAUCACAUUUUCCUGUUAGGCGUUAACUUAAUGGAAACUGAAAAAAUGAAUAAAUAAAUGAAGGAUAUGGCUGCUUCUUUUUUCUCCUUGCUUCUAACAUUUUCAUUCACAUGUUCAUUUGCUACUUCAAGAUUCAGACCAACCAAGUUAUUCAAAAUGCAGUUUUUAUAGAAGCAAGCUAAUGCCUGGUUCCCUUUAUAGUUUGUACAGAGAGAAGUCAAUAGACUGUAAAACUUGAUUCCUUUGGGCACCUAACACGGGAAAUUGUGAUCUGAUUAAUUGAUUUGUGGCACAUAGUUGGAAACUACUUUAGUUGCUUGUUAAGCAUAAUAGCCUCUCACUGACCAAGUAAAUAAUUGCUGUACAAAGAGAUGCCUUGAUUGUUUUACAGAUAAUGCGUUGCAAAAUGUUUCAGGACUGAGUGCAACUACAAGGAUACCGAAGAAGAACAAGCGAAGGGUACCGCAAGAUUUUACAAAUUAAUAUUACAGACAUGUUUGUUUCUUGACA